AAGAUAUCUUAUGUCUACUCUUCUGACUUGAAGAGAGCCUUUGAGACUGCUCAGAUCAUUGCUGCUAAAUGCGGCACCCUUGAGAUACUUACUGAUCCUGAUUUGCGGGGGAGGCAUUUAGGGGAUAUGCAAGGUCUUGUGUAUCAAGAAGCUUCCAAACUUCGUCCAGAAGCUUACAAAGCCUUCUCAUCUAACCGCACAGACGUUGAUAUUCCAGGUGGAGGAGAAAGUCUCGACAAGCUUUACGACAGAUGUACAUCUGCAUUGCAGAGAAUCGGCAACAAACAUCAAGGU